ACUAUGCUUGGCCCUAAACCUCAGUAGUUAGAUAACAAAACUACUCGCCAGAAUACUACAAGCUAUAGCUUAAAACUCAAAGGACUUGACGGUGCUUUACACCCCCUAGAGGAGCCUGUUCCGUAAUCGAUAAACCCCGAUCCACCCCACCCUCUCUUGCUCAGCCUAUAUACCGCCAUCUUCAGCAAACCCUAAUGAAGGUCACAAAGUGAGCGCAAACGCCGUCACCGCGAGUACGUUAGGUCAAGGUGUAGCCUAUGAGAUGGUAAAAGAUGGGCUACAUUUUCUACCUCAGAAAAUUCCACGAAAACCCUUAUGAAACUUAAGGGUCCAAGGAGGAUUUAGCAGUAAAUUAAGAAUAGAGUGCUUAAUUGAACCAGGCCAUAAAGCGCGCACACACCGCCCGUCACUCCUCUCAAAUAUAUUUAAGGAACAUCUUAACUAAACGCCCUAAUAUUUAUAUAGAGAGGAUAAGUCGUAACAUGGUAAGCGUACUGGAAGGUGCGCUUGGAUAAAU
rnacentral:rRNA from 1 species